GAUGAACGCUGGCGGCGUGCCUAGUACAUGCAAGUCGAGCGAACAGAUAAGGAGCUUGCUCCUUUGACGUUAGCGGCGGACGGGUGAGUAACACGUGGGUAACCUACCUAUAAGACUGGGAUAACUUCGGGAAACCGGAGCUAAUACCGGAUAACAUUUGGAACCGCAUGGUUCUAAAGUGAAAGAUGGUUUUGCUAUCACUUAUAGAUGGACCCGCGCCGUAUUAGCUAGUUGGUAAGGUAACGGCUUACCAAGGCGACGAUACGUAGCCGACCUGAGAGGGUGAUCGGCCACACUGGAACUGAGACACGGUCCAGACUCCUACGGGAGGCAGCAGUAGGGAAUCUUCCGCAAUGGGCGAAAGCCUGACGGAGCAACGCCGCGUGAGUGAUGAAGGGUUUCGGCUCGUAAAACUCUGUUAUUAGGGAAGAACAAACGUGUAAGUAACUGUGCACGUCUUGACGGUACCUAAUCAGAAAGCCACGGCUAACUACGUGCCAGCAGCCGCGGUAAUACGUAGGUGGCAAGCGUUAUCCGGAAUUAUUGGGCGUAAAGCGCGCGUAGGCGGUUUCUUAAGUCUGAUGUGAAAGCCCACGGCUCAACCGUGGAGGGUCAUUGGAAACUGGGAAACUUGAGUGCACAAGAGGAAAGUGGAAUUCCAUGUGUAGCGGUGAAAUGCGCAGAGAUAUGGAGGAACACCAGUGGCGAAGGCGACUUUCUGGUCUGUAACUGACGCUGAUGUGCGAAAGCGUGGGGAUCAAACAGGAUUAGAUACCCUGGUAGUCCACGCCGUAAACGAUGAGUGCUAAGUGUUAGGGGGUUUCCGCCCCUUAGUGCUGCAGCUAACGCAUUAAGCACUCCGCCUGGGGAGUACGACCGCAAGGUUGAAACUCAAAGGAAUUGACGGGGACCCGCACAAGCGGUGGAGCAUGUGGUUUAAUUCGAAGCAACGCGAAGAACCUUACCAAAUCUUGACAUCCGUUGAAAACUCUAGAGAUAGAGCCUUCCCCUUCGGGGGACAAAGUGACAGGUGGUGCAUGGUUGUCGUCAGCUCGUGUCGUGAGAUGUUGGGUUAAGUCCCGCAACGAGCGCAACCCUUAAGCUUAGUUGCCAUCAUGAAGUUUGAGCACUCUAAGUUGACUGCCGGUGACAAACCGGAGGAAGGUGGGGAUGACUUAAAUCAUCAUGCUCCUGACGAAUGGGCUGAACAGGCCUGGAAGGGAAAAGUGAAAGGCGGCUGUCCGCGAGGUCAUGCAAAAGCCGUUAAGUUGUU
rnacentral:rRNA from 1 species